GAUGUCAGAAAAAUCUAAAGAGGAGAACUCUGAUAGCAGGUCCAGUGAAGAUUUGGCAAUAGAUUUCAACCUUUCACUUGCUGCAGCAAAAGAACGUGCUCAUCAGAAGCGCUCAAGUAAAAGAGCACCACAGAUGGACUGGAGCAAGAAAAACGAGCUGUUCAGCAACUUGUAAUGUUUACCGGGGAAGCCUGUAUUGCCUGCUGCUGUAAUCUCAGACUAUGGAGCCAAACCUAUUGAUCAGUUGUCUGCUUAAAUUUUGAAAACUAGAGUUUCAAAGAUAUUCUAAAACAAACAGCAGAAAGUGCUGUUUUAUUUGAAGGAGCUGUAGCUUUCUGAAAUAAUGCACUGCUGUUAUCAAACCAGUGAGCUAGUGUUAAAAGACUGUGUGUGUGGUAGUUUGCUGUAUCAGAUGACAUAUGUUAUCAAAGUACCAUUCACUAACAUAAAUUAAUAUCAUUUCAGGAGCAUUCCAGACUAAAUGUCUCUUUCAAAUGUUGUUGUAAAGUAGCUGUCUGGGUGGAAUGCUGAGCUGAUGUUCACUGACAUUUGUGUCUGCUGAAUAAAGACGAGACUUCCAUCUUAUGUGCAGCCUUAUCCUUGACCUUAAAACCUGUGCAAAAAAUCAACAGAAAAAAAAUAUUCUGAAUUUCUGACAACUUUAAAGUGCCACCAAACUUUCUUAUCCUGAAUGUAGCUGUGUAUGCUUAUAGAACAUAUGUGCCAUAAAACAGUAAAAGCAGUGCAGAACUCACCUGGACAUUUAAUUCUGUGAUUUUAGCCUUACCUUUCCUUCUCUUAUCUUGUUGAUGUUACUCCAAGAAUAUGUAGUGUUAUGAGUAAUGUCAUGUUGGUUAACUACUUUACUCUAUUUUCUUCUGAUUUUUUACUCUAUUUUCUGCUGAUUUUUUUUUAAGUCCAUGUUGCCCCUUGGUAUACGUUUAAAUGUUAGCCUUAUUUCGAUUUUCUACAGAUUUCUGUUUUGGUCUGUCAUUGUUCCAGUAUUGUUACAUGUUGACAGGAACUUUCCCCAGGAUUUACAAAGGGUGCAGCAGAAGCCAAGAUAUUCAAUAUUUGCAGGUUUUACCAUAAAUUACUGUAAGGUGGUAUCACUUAAUAUUAACAAAAGAAUAGUAUACUGUGCAUGAGCCCUCUGGAAGGGAAAGCUUUGUCAGUAUGGGACUUCAUGUCUGUAUUUCAUUUUACCAUUUGUUAACCAAACUGUUGUACUACUCUGAAUACCUUUUCAGACAGCAUAUUGGCAGUAGUAUAAAAGAUAGUAGUUGUAAAAAAAAUGAAAAAAAGCACACACAGCAUGACAAAAAAGUGUACAAAAACAAGGCAAUUUACAUAUGUCUGGAAAGAUCGCAGCAAAUUAUUGAACAAAUUAACAAAACAACAAAUGUACAUACAUUAGUAUAGUCUACUUACUCUUGGCUAUGUUGCAUUAUUUUGUUGAUUACGUAGUUUAAAAUAUGCAUGCAGUUGCAGACAUCUGUACAAUAUGGAGUAUUUUUUUACCCAGUUUUUUUUUAAAUACUCAGACAUGGCUUAUUUCCAGUAAGUGCACUUUUAUGAAUGAUUUAAUGCUAUUGUCACUUCUGAUCUUAUCUAGUAGACUAUUCCAAAAUGCUGUAUUGCUUAUGG